GGCUAUGUCCCAUGUCCGUCGGCGUUGCCGACAACAUGCCCAGGUAGUCCAGACCUUCAAGGCUACGGUGCGUUGCGACGCACGGUCUGAUUCUUCACCACGACGCUCACCGCGUCUUCUUCCAUCCCCCUGGGGCAGUGACUGCCCUCGCGGGU
rfam:Alicycliphilus denitrificans K601, complete genome.